rnacentral:rRNA from 1 species
CGGUAAGGCCCUUUCGGGGGUACACGAGUGGCGAACGGGUGAGUAACACGUGAGUAACCUGCCCUUGACUCUGGGAUAACAGCCGGAAACGGUUGCUAAUACCGGAUAUUCAGCUUCUGCCGCAUGGUGGUUGUUGGAAAGCUUUUGUGGUCAAGGAUGGGCUCGCGGUCUAUCAGCUUGUUGGUGGGGUAGUGGCUCACCGAGGCUUCGACGGGUAGCCGGCCUGAGAGGGUGACCGGCCACAUUGGGGCUGAGAUACGGCCCAAACUCCUACGGGAGGCAGCAGUGGGGAAUAUUGCACAAUGGACGGAAGUCUGAUGCAGCAACGCCGCGUGCGGGAUGACGGCCUUCGGGUUGUAAACCGCUUUCAUCCAUGACGAAGCGAGAGUGACGGUAGUGGGAGAAGAAGCACCGGCUAACUACGUGCCAGCAGCCGCGGUGAUAUGUAGGGUGCGAGCGUUGUCCGGAUUUAUUGGGCGUAAAGAGCUUGUAGGCGGUUUGUUGCGUCGGAAGUGAAAACUCAGGGCUUAACUCUGAGCCUGCUUUCGAUACGGGCAGACUUGAGGAAGGUAGGGGAGAAUGGAAUUCCUGGUGAAGCGGUGGAAUGCGUAGAUAUCAGGAGGAACACCGGUGGCGAAGGCGGUUCUCUGGACCUUUCCUGACGCUGAGAAGCGAAAGCGUGGGGAGCAAACAGGCUUAGAUACCCUGGUAGUCCACGCCGUAAACGGUGGGUACUAGGUGUGGGGGACAUUCCACGUUCUCCGUGCCGUAGCUAACGCAUUAAGUACCCGCCUGGGGAGUACGGCCGCAAGGCUAAAACUCAAAGGAAUUGACGGGGCCCCGCACAAGCGGCGGAGCAUGCGGAUUAAUUCGAUGCAACGCGAAGAACCUUACCUGGGUUUGACAUAUGCCGGAAACAGUCAGAGAUGGCCGCCCCUUUUUGGUCGGUUUACAGGUGGUGCAUGGCUGUCGUCAGCUCGUGUCGUGAGAUGUUGGGUUAAGUCCCGCAACGAGCGCAACCCUCGUCCU